rnacentral:tRNA from 1 species
GGUUGUAGCUCAGUGGUAGAGAACGCUUGCCUUGCACAUGGGAGGCACUGGGUUCGAUCCUCAGCACCA